GGAGGCAUUAAUUAUAUAGUGUAAAAAGAAAAUAUGUUUAUAGUUGUUUUGUAGGUAGUCAAAGGAUGAUCUAAUGUACAGGAAGUACUGUGCCCAUAAUAAAGACUCAGUAAAUGUGAAUGGCUGCUGACAUUCUUUAAGACAAUGACUUACUUCUCUGCUUGCUAGUGAGUUCACAGUCUAUUGCUGCUAUGGUUUUGGCCAGUGUAAAAUAGAACAAUAUAUUGCAAGAGCAAAGUGAUUAAAGCAUCUGAACAUCUUUGUUCUAGUUCUGCCACUUUAAGGUUGAUAAGUCAUCAGAGACCAGUUCCUUUGAAAAGCCUUUCAUCCCUGCCUGGAACAGAGUUUGUUUCCCUGUGUGUCCCCUCAGUACUCUGCUCAUGCUCAUCACAGUGCUUUUUUACUCUGCAAGUCAUUACCUACUACAGAUAAAGAAAUGUAUGUAAGCAGUUGUGACUAGCAUUUCAUGAAAAAAGGAAGAGUACUGAAUAGGGCAUAUUAGCAGAGACCAGUGUGUGUCAUAAAGGAAUAGUGUUUCACAAAACAUUUGUUUCACUUAAACACAUAUUUUUAUAUAUUGGGGUGUAAUGUAAUUGUAUUUUUAUAGCAGGUCACGAUAAAAGAAAUUUUGAAAAAAACUUUAUUGUAGCACAGGUCACAUCAGAUCAUGGUUUGUCACAUUAUAAAUGAGUUCCCUUUAUUAUACUCUGCACCUCUUAGUAGGAGGAACCACAUUUCUUUCUAACACCUAGGACAGAUCUGCCUAGGACACAGUAGCUGUUCAGUAAAGUGGAAUGAAUGACCGAAUGAUAUGAAGAUCAUUUAAUUCCUCUGAACCAACCUUUCUUUUUCACAGAUUUGAAUGUCACCAUUGUAUUGGUACUAUGAGGGUUAGCUGAGAUCAGGGACAGGAACCUCCUGCUCUGUGCAGUGCUCUGUGUGCAAUGCACAUAAUCAGGAUUAUUGUCUGGCAUGAUUUUUGUUAUUGUUGAGCAAAUAAGCCUCAGGAUUUCUGAAAAUCUUAGUGU
rnacentral:lncRNA from 1 species